ACUGAAAUGAUCAGAGGGUUUUGACUUUCUUUUCUCGAAAGCCAGCUGCACCAAUUGGUCAUCGAUGGAUACCAGCAGCACCGCCCGUGGAACCGCCAUCGUAGCCUCUUUGUCUUCACCGUGCCGCUCAAACGGCUGGAAGUACGAGGUGUUUCUGAGCUUUAGAGGCGACGACACAUGCACUAACCACACAGACAACCUCUCCUUUGCGUUACGCUAUGCCGAAAUCCACACGCUCAUAGACUACUAGCUCAGAAGAGGGGAAAACAUACAGAGUGAACUUGACCGAUAAAUCGAAGGGUCCAUAAUCGCCAUCGUCGUCUUCUCCAAGGGGUACGCGGAGUCCCAGUGGUGCUUGAGGGAGCUGGCCAAGAUCAUGAGGUGCCGAGAAGAUCAAGAGGGCAAAAUAGUCUAUCCAAUAUUCUAUGCCGUCGAGAGGAAACAAAGUGGUGGUUUUGGGGAAGUUCGGAAGCAUGAAAGCGAUGAAAAUCCAAACGAACAAGCAGCAGAGAAGGAUCUUAAGGCUUCGUUCCGGCGGACGGUAUAGGUGAAACAACACUUGCGAGAGCUAUGUGUAGCGAAUAUCAUCAUUGCUUUAGUGGUCAAUGUUACCUUGAAAAGGAGAGGAGUAAAAAAGAAAAGUAUCGUUGCUCUGCAAGAACAACUUCUUCGAGAUGUUUUGAAACGGCUGGACAUUAAUGUGAGCAGUGUUGCCCAAGAACCAAAGAGAUAGAGAAAAGACUUGGAAGCAUGAAGGUGCUUGUCGUCGUUCUGGCAUAGAUGAUGCUGGCCAAUUAGAUGAAUUGGCGAUAAAACAUGAAUCGACUACGUUUGUUAAGAUUCAGCCCACCCAAAUCUGCAGAAGCAUUAAGUGCUCAACCUCAUUUGGAUCUUCAUCCCUUUCAUGCUUCCAAUAUGCAUUUCCAAUAAUAACACUAUUUCCUCAAAGGGUCGACAUCGUACAAUAUUGGAUGGACUACUUUCCCCUCUUGAUCUUCUUGGCACCUCAUGAUCUUGGCCAGCUCCCUCAGGCACCAUCCAGACUUCGUGUACCUCUUUGAGAAGACAGACGACGGCCCUUUGAUUUCUUGGUCAAGUUCACCCUGUAUGUUUUCCCCUCUUCUGAGCUGGUAGUCUAUGAGCGUGUGGAUUCCGGCAUUGUGUACCGUAAUGGAGAGGUGGUCAGUGAAGGUAGUGCGUGUGUCGUCGCCUCUAAAGCCCAGAAACACCUCUUACUUCCAGGGGUUUGAGCGGCACGGUGAAGACGAAGAGGCUGCGAUGGCGGUUCCACGGGCGGUGCUGCUGGUAUCCAUCGAUAAUUAGUACUAGUGUUGAGAGACUAAAGGGAGUGCAGCAGGCUGUGCGGCUUGGCUUUCAGAUAGCCAAAGUCAAGUCAAAUGUCAUCGCCUAAGUAUUAUAGAGAAACGAAAUGCGUGGAGGGAUAUGAAUAUACAUGUAUAUGGCAUUGCAUAUAUUUAUGACAAAAUAUGGUAACACUUACUUUUUUACGUGUGACGUAAAAUAUAUGAAAUACUUACAUUGCCUUA